rnacentral:tRNA from 2 species
CAAGUUAAAGCUUUAAGUUAAGUUUUUUAUUUACAUUAAAAAGAUUGCUGUUUAAUUCAGUGUAGUUUGA